UACGAAGGGGGCUAGCGUUACUCGGAAUUACUGGGCGUAAAGGGCGCGUAGGCGGCGCUCCAAGUUAGGCGUGAAAGUCCUGGGCUCAACCUGGGAACUGCGCUUGAUACUGGAGUGCUUGAGGAUGGAAGAGGGUCGUGGAAUUCCCAGUGUAGAGGUGAAAUUCGUAGAUAUUGGGAAGAACACCGGUGGCGAAGGCGGCGACCUGGUCCAUUACUGACGCUGAGGUGCGAAAGCGUGGGGAGCAAACAGG
rnacentral:rRNA from 1 species